GCGCCUUUAGCUCAGUUGGGAGAGCGCCCCGCUUACAUUGGGGAGGUCGUUGGUUCGAACCCAGCAAGGCGCA
rnacentral:tRNA from 1 species